AUUGACGGUCUCCCUUGGUUGAACGAUUUCGGUGUGUAUUGUGUUGAAUUGAAGACGCAGCGGGAAUAUCGAGCGGGUAAUCCUGCAGGUCAGGAGAAUCAGGGCGGUGAUCGAGCGGGUUAGAGUAUUUGUUAUAGUUUUACAGCAUUUGUAAUAGUGAGGUGAGUUAAGCUCAUUGAGCCUUACAAUUUGAUUUGGUGAGAGUGUGUUGUAAUAAUUAACUUGAGGAUUUGAUUUAUUGUAAUAUUGAGAGGUGUGAAGUGUGGUUGUUUGUGAGAAAAAAAUUCAGGACGUUUAUUCUA